rnacentral:rRNA from 1 species
UCGCCCGGGUUGCCGCAAGGCCUCCCGGGUAACCUACCACCCUUUGUUUAUCACACUUUGUUGCUUUGGCAGGCCUGCCCUCGGGCUGCUGGCUCCGGCCGGCGAGCGCCUGCCAGAGGACCUAAACUCUGUUUGUCUAUACUGUCUGAGUACUAUAUAAUAGUUAAAACUUUCAACAACGGAUCUCUUGGUUCUGGCAUCGAUGAAGAACGCAGCGAAAUGCGAUAAGUAAUGUGAAUUGCAGAAUUCAGUGAAUCAUCGAAUCUUUGAACGCACAUUGCGCCCCCUGGUAUUCCGGGGGGCAUGCCUGUCCGAGCGUCAUUACAACCCUCAAGCUCAGCUUGGUGUUGGGCCCCGCCGCCCCGGCGGGCCCUAAAGUCAGUGGCGGUGCCGUCCGGCUCCGAGCGUAGUAAUUCUUCUCGCUCUGGAGGCCCGGUCGCGUGCCCGCCAGCAACCCCCAAUUUUUUUCAGGUUGACCUCGGAUCAGGUAGGGAUACCCGCUGAACUUAAGCAUAUCAAUAAGCGGA